rnacentral:lncRNA from 1 species
CUGGGAUACCCUGAAGCCCAGAGGUGUGAUUUGUUCCCCCUUGCCCAGAAGGGUGACUGUUCCACUGGGCCUGUCACCACAGGACAUUUUCCAUGACAAGCACUCACCUUCUUGGGGAAGGGGCAUCAGGUUGGCACAGGAAAGGCCCAGGUGAGGGGCCACUCUGUACAUUAAUACUUUGGUGAUUAAUGUUUGGGGAGAGGCAGGAUUCUCACCCAGGCUUUUGACUCAAACCCUCUCACUCAGCUGGAUAUGAAACCCAGAGUCCAUGCUACUCCCAGCUCUGACACAAGGCCAAGCCCACAGAACACUCCCAAACGAGGUCCCGAGAGUUAGGGAAUAGGGUGGAAAGGAUUGGAGGGCAUCUUCUGGAAGAGAGCGCUAGGGCAGAUCACAGUUUCCGCUCCACAGGUUGCUGUAGACACAGUUCGCUGCCCGCAGAGAUGAUGGGCAAGUGAUUGUCCAUGUGGUAGCUGAUAAGGUGACUGACACUUUCAAAGCGGUGAUCCUUAGUCCGAACCUGGGAGGGUGGGAAGGAAGAAGGUCAAUUCAGGUGAAGAGUCAAAUAAGACCUCAGCCUCCAAGGUGGAAGAGGGUGAAACAGACAAGAGGCUUGAAGGAGGAGAAAAAAAUGGUGGGGGAGAGUGUGGCCUGUCAAUCCUGAUCAUUGAGGCUUCUCUAGAAAGAGACAGUUGUAGGAAUAGACAGGUCAGUGAAGUGAGAAAAGGCAAAGGCGACAUCAGCCCUGAAAGAGUGAAGCUGAGAGCUAUAUACCCCUUUCUUGACCUGGAGGAAGUUGGCAUGUCUCAGAAGAGUAUACACAGUGCAAAAAAAGAUGUGGAGGCUGGGCAUGGUGGUCCGUGCCUGUAAUCCCAGCACUCUGGGAGGCCGAGGGAGGCGGAUCACUUGAGCCCGGGAGUUCAAGAACAGCUUGGGCAACAUGGCGAAACCCCAUCUCUACCAAAAAAAAAAUACAAAAAUUAGCCAGGUGUGCCACCACACCGCAGCCUGAGUGACAAAGCAAAACCCUAUCUCAAAAAAAAAGAAAGGAAGCUGAGAUUACUGUAGAAAACAAACAAAAGUUUUUUUGUUUCCAGACAGGGUCUCUGUCACCCAGGCUAGAGUACAGUGGCGCAAUCAUGGCUCACUGUAACCUCGAACUCCUGGGCUCAAGCGAUCCUCAGGCCUCAGCCUCCUGGGUAGGUAGGACUACAGGCAUGUGUCACCAUUCCUGACUAGAGACAAGGUCUCGCUAUGUUGCCCAGGCUGGUCUUGAACUCCUGGCCUCAAGCAAUCCUCCCACCUCAGCUUCGCAAAAUGUUGGGAUUACAGGCAUGAACCACCACACCUGGCUAAACAAGGAAAGUUUUGAAGAACAGUGAGGCAGUGCAGAUAAGAGAAAGCACAGUGGUCUGAGUCCUGAGUCUGGGGAGCUGGAGAAGCCCUUGGAUCUUCUUACAAAAGGAAACUUGCAGUGUCUAGCCUCUAACCAUCUGACAUUGGGCAUCACAACCUCUUCAGGGUGGUUUCCUUAUUUGUCAAAAGAGGGGCACAGAUGAGAUGACUGCCUUCUAGCUCUGAUAAGCUUAAGGCUUGGGGAUUUGAGGACGGGCCAGGACUGUAUUUGUUUUGUUUUGUUUUUUCAGACAGAGUCUCACUCUGUCACCCAGGCUGGAGUGCAGUGGUGUGAUCUCAGCUCAUUGCAACCUCUGCAUCCCAGAUUCAAGCAAUUCUCCUGCCUCAGCCUCCUGAGUAGCUGGGACUACAGGUGCCUGCCACCACACCCGGCUAAUUUUUGUAUUUUUAGUAGAGACAGGGUUUCACCAUAUUGGUCAGGCUGGUCUCGAACUCCUGACCUCAGGUGAUUCACCUGCCUCAGCCUCCCAAAGCGCUGGGAUUACAGGUGUGAGCCACCACGCCUGGCCCUGUGCCAGGACUAUAAAGAACAUAGUUCAGGCUAAGGGAUGAGCCUCUGGAGGAAGAUGCCAGACACUUUAAAGAGCAAGAGAGGCCCAUAGACAGCUGCCCAGCGGGAAUGUCUACAAAGCAAUGAGGGAAGGAAGAGGGAUACACUGUAGGGUACUGUACCUUCCUUUUUGCCACCCCUCACCCACACCUCUGCCACACUCACCACACCCUCAGGGUCCACCAGUAGCAAAUGCUUAGGCUGCCC